rnacentral:rRNA from 1 species
UACGUAGGAGGCGAGCGUUGUCCGGAAUUACUGGGCGUAAAGAGCGCGUAGGCGGCGCAAUACGACCGAUCGUGAAAGCCCCCGGCUCAACUGGGGAGGGUCAUCGGUAACGGUCGUGCUAUGGAGUGCAGGAGAGGGAAGUGGAACUCCGGGAGUAGCGGUGAAAUGCGUAGAUAUGCGGAGGAACACCGAUGGCGAAGGCAAUCCCCUGGGCCUGCACUGACGCUCGAUGACACGAA